rnacentral:tRNA from 1 species
UGCCUCGUUGCAUAAUCAGGCAGUGCGCCGGUCUCUGACACCGGAGGACCUGGAGCAAAACCAGGCGAGGCAGCCA